CCUACGGGCGGCAGCAGUGGGGAAUAUUGGGCAAUGGGCGCAAGCCUGACCCAGCAACGCCGCGUGAAGGAUGACGGUUUUCGGAUUGUAAACUUCUGUUGCGAGGGAGGAAAAAUGACGGUAGCUCGUAAGAAAGCCAGGGCUAUCUACGUGCCAGCAGCCGCGGUAAUACGCAGGGGGCAAGGGUUGUCCGGAAUGACUGGGCGUAAAGGGAGUGUAGGCGGUUUAACAAGUUAGAGGUGAAAUCCCGCGGCUUAACCUCGGAACUGCAUCUAAAACUGGGGAGCUGGAGUGCAGGAGAGGUGGGUGGAAUGCCUGGUGUAGCGGUGGAAUGCGUAGAUAUUAGGAGGAACACCAGGGGCGAAGGCGGCUCACUGGACUGUAACUGACGCUGAGGCUCGAAAGCGUGGGGAGCAAACAGGAUUAGAUACCCGAGUAGUC
rnacentral:rRNA from 1 species